CCCCUCCUCUCUUCUCCGGCGGAGCUGGGCUUCUCCUCGCGGGCUCGGCUUUGCUCCCCCCCCCGCCCCCUCCCUUUCCAAUGUGCAGCGCGUUCUCUGCUUCUCGUUUGCUUGGAGACCGGCGUCCCUGCCGCCGCUUCCCUCCUCGCCCGACUUUCGGGGGCUCUUUGGAGACUUCGGAGGGGACUCCCAGCCUUUCCCCGCCCCCACCGAGGAGAGGGAGGGGCUCCUUACUCCGGCGCCAUGCUCCGGGCCCGAGUUGUUGUCCUUCUGGCUGUACUGUUCCUGAACCCGGCUUCUGUGAAUGGGGGAGGGAAGAAGUUUUACCAGGGACCUUGUGGGGGUCGAGACUGCAGCGCUGGAUGCCGAUGCUUCCCAGAGAAAGGGGCUCGGGGUCGGCCAGGGCCAAUCGGAAACCAAGGACAGCAGGGCGCUCCUGGAUUUACCGGAGCAGAAGGCUUGCGAGGGCCGAAGGGCGAGAAGGGAUCCAUGGGGGCUUCAGGACCGGCUGGACUCAAGGGUGAUAAGGGACCAAUGGGAGUUCCUGGAUUUCAAGGAAUAUAUGGAGUUCCUGGGCAUCCUGGCCAACCGGGUCCCAGAGGCCUUCCUGGCCUGGAUGGUUGCAAUGGGACCAUUGGGGACCCUGGUCUCCUAGGAGCAGAUGGGUUUCCUGGCACACAAGGACUGCCGGGUCCUCCUGGCCCAAAGGGUCCCAAAGGCGAGCCUGUUUUUGCCCAAGGAGUUUUGAAAGGAAUGAAGGGGGAAAGUGGUCUUCCUGGCUUGAAUGGACCGAUGGGUCCAAGAGGUUUUCCAGGUCUUCCGGGUCCUGCUGGCCCAAUGGGACUACCUGGCUUUCCAGGGCUACCAGGUCCACCCGGCCAACCAGGUGAAUUGGGAAACAGUGGCCUGGUUUUCCAGGGAGAAAAGGGUGUGAAAGGAGAUGUGGGACUCCCAGGCCCCGCUGGACCUCCGCCUUCCACUGGGAUUUUGGAAUUCAUGGAGUUCCCCAAAGGACAACGAGGAGCAAAAGGAGUCCCAGGCCCAGAAGGGUUUCCUGGUCCACAAGGAUUUCCUGGUCCGCCAGGUGUUGACGGUUUUGGGGAGAAAGGAGAAAAAGGUGUUCCUGGAUUGCCUGGACCCAGGGGAGACAUGGGACCGAAAGGAUUUGAUGGGAGCCCAGGUGGAGAGGGCUCACCAGGUGAGCCAGGAUUUCCAGGAAGAGAUGGAUCACCAGGAGGAAAGGGCGAGUUUGGUGAUAUUGGUCCUCCAGGUCCUACGGUUAUUAUUGAUGAAGAAGGCAUUGUAAUUUCAGGUCCUCCUGGAGAACCUGGGACUCCGGGAAUCCCUGGUGCUAGAGGCGACGAAGGGUCCGUUGGGAUGGUAGGCCUUCCCGGCCCACCAGGUUAUUCUGCGCCUUUUCCAGGACCUCCAGGUUUGACGGGAUUCCCAGGAGUUACAGGAGCUAAAGGGGACCGAGGAGAUCCAGGCAGAUUGACAAUUGGAUUGCCUGGCCCACCUGGCAGAGAUGGCACUCCAGGCUUGCCAGGGCCUCCAGGACUUCCUGGUCCAUCACGUUCUGAUUUGAGACCAGAUGGUAUCUUUAGUGGAGAACCUGGAGAGCCAGGGACACCUGGGCAGAGGGGACCACCGGGGACAUUCGGUCCCAAAGGAUUCAAAGGCGAAGGAGGCGACUGUGCCUGCGAUGGAGGGGUGACAGGAUAUGGCCUCAAGGGAGAGCCAGGUUCACCUGGCCAGCCGGGAAGACCAGGGGAAUUUGGGCCAAAAGGCCCUUUGGGAGACCCAGGAAUUGGGGAACCGGGCCCACGUGGGCCACCGGGUUCCAUUGGUCCACCUGGUUUUCCAGGUCUCAAGGGAGAGAAAGGAGAGCCGCUCUUAGCAUCCGGCGAAGGCUUCCGCGGAGAUCCAGGGAAUCUCGGACCCAGGGGUCCUUCAGGCAUCCCAGGAAUUCCUGGUCGGGAUGGUGUUCCAGGUUUCCCAGGCCCACCUGGCCUUCCAGGCGAUGGGGUCUUUGGCUACCCAGGGGAGAAAGGUUUGCCAGGAUUGCCUGGAGUCAAGGGCCGGCGGGGUGGAGUUGGUCUUCCGGGCGUUGGAUUUCCCGGCUCAACCGGAGCUCGUGGGCUGCCGGGCGAACCAGGGUUAGAUGGUUUUCCAGGACAGCCUGGUCUUCCAGGUCCUCCAGGCAAAGCAUUUGACAAUAUUCCCACUGCGAUGCCCAAAGUGCACACACAUUCAGUGCAAAAUGAGAACCAAUGGGUGACCCAGAGUGAUUGCUGCUGCAGUGAGGAGGUUGGGAAUGGAGUCUUAGACGCUCAGGGAGGUGGAACGUUGCCCUGCGUCAUUCCGGGAGCGUUUGGUCCACCCGGAUUUCCAGGAGCUUCGGGAUUUCCAGGACGCAAGGGGAGCAAGGGUCUCCCAGGUAUUCCUGGUCAGCCGGGAUUCAAUGGCAUAAAAGGACCGAUGGGCACACCAGGAUUGAUCGGCCUCCUAGGAAUGCCAGGUUUUCCGGGUAUUCGUGGUGAUCCAGGGAUAUCAGGACCUCCUGGACCGGAUGGGACAGAUGGCUUUCCGGGGAAACCAGGCCUUCCCGGUUUACCCGGAGCAAAGGGUCCCCCUGGGGAAGUCUUUGGGGCUGAAAGCGGAGCGCGGGGUGAACCCGGGAGAACCGGAUCCCCAGGGGAAAAGGGUUUUGCGGGGGAUCCAGGCCUCCCAGGACCGAAAGGUUUAGAUGGGAGGCCAGGCCUACCGGGCAUCAAAGGAAUUUCUGGUGAUCCAGGUCCAGCAGGUUUUCCUGGACUGCCAGGGCCUCGGGGCCCCGUUGGGCCACUUGGCAUCAAGGGAAAAGCAGGUCCAGCUGGAGUCAUUGGCUUCCCAGGAUCCCAAGGUCUUCCUGGAGAAAAGGGCAAAAGCGGGGAUCCUGGUCCACCCGGUCCUGCCGGCAUGAAGGGUUUCACAGGUCUCAAUGGUCUUCAAGGGCCUCUCGGGGAGCAAGGAUUUCCCGGAUCGCCUGGCCCUUCGGGUCCGGAUGGGAAUCCAGGUUUCCUUGGACCUGAAGGAGAAAAGGGCUCGGCGGGUGUUCUUGGCUUCCCUGGCAUGCCAGGUCUUCCUGGAAUCGCUGCGGCUGAUGGUCCAAAAGGAAUCCCUGGAGGACCAGGAAAAGAUGGGGGCAUCGGAUUCCCUGGACUCCUUGGCAUGAAAGGAGAGAGAGGUAAUCCCGGACCUCCUGGACCCCCAGUUUUCACACCCCCAGAACUGUCUCUUCUCCUCAAGGGAAACAAAGGGGAGCCCGGCUCUUUUGGACUUCUAGGAUUUCCAGGACCUAGAGGGGACAAGGGACUCCCUGGGCCCCGGGGCCAACCUGGCUUUCCAGGAAUCGCGGGGUCACCAAGCAGAGCGGAAGGACCACCUGGAGACUCGGGUUUCCCAGGAUCAUUUGGCCUUCCCGGUUUUCCAGGACAGGAGGGCAUUACUGGCAUUGUAGGGUUCCCAGGGAUGCCUGGAGAAAGCGGUGCUGAAGGUAUACCAGGGUCACCUGGAUUCCCAGGAAUGAUGGGAUUGCGAGGUCCAAAGGGUGACCGAGGGGACUCCAUAGGAAUCCCAGGAGGAGUAGGAGCUAAAGGAGAACAAGGCGAUCCUGGACUUCCAGGUCCAAGAGGUUUUGAUGGACCAAAGGGAGACGACGAAUUCCCAGGAAUCCCUGGAGACAAAGGGCAGAAAGGUGUUCCUGGAAACCGUGGUCAAGAAGGACCACCAGGUCUCCCCGGGAUUGGGAUUUCAAGGGGCAGCCCUGGUCUCCCAGGUCUCCCAGGGCAGCGUGGCUCUUCCGGCCGUCCAGGGCUUCCCGGCAGCCCAGGACUGAAAGGAUUCACUGGUCCUCCAGGUCUGAUUGGUCUUUAUGGCUUACCGGGCACCAAGGGUUCGCUUGGAACACCAGGCUCGAGUGAAAUUGGACUUCCAGGCCCUGCGGGGCCUCCAGGCACCACAGGAGAGCCAGGACUUCCGGGAUUUCAGAUUGGAGUCCCAGGGUUUCCAGGACAGAAAGGACAGACAGGGGAAAUGGGUCGCCCCGGAGCCACAGGCCCUCCAGGUUUGCAAGGUCCUCCUGGCAUCUCCUUUUCAUCUGUGAUUCCUGGAAGACCUGGUGAUGCUGGAAAACCUGGAGAGGAUGGCAGACCAGGCUUUCCAGGACCCCCCGGUCCCAAAGGACUCCCGGGCCCGGCUUCUAAUCAGGGGGACACAGGGAGCCCCGGUUCCCCUGGUCCUCCUGGUCUUCUGGGCCUCAAAGGUGAUACAGGCUUCCCUGGAGUCAGUGGCGUUCCAGGAGCAUCGGGAUUCAAAGGCCCCAAAGGGGAGCCUGGAAGCAUGGGAAUGCCAGGCAAAGAUGGCCCUCCAGGUGAUCCAGGUUUCCCCGGUCCGAAAGGUGAAACCGGACGUCGAGGUUUUCCUGGUCUUCAGGGAACUCCAGGUCUGACCCAGAAACCAGAAGACAUCAAGGCACCAACCGGGUCAAUGGGACUUCCAGGGAUCGAUGGCAUCCCGGGAUUAAAUGGAGAUCCAGGAUUCCAAGGGACCAUUGGCCAGCAAGGUCCCAAAGGGAUGCCUGGUAGACCUGGCCAAAUGGGUUCCAAUGGCUUCCCCGGUUCACCUGGCGUGGUUGGCGACCCAGGUUCUCCAGGCAACCUUGGACCCCCGGGCUUUGAAGGUCAUCCUGGGAGGCCAGGGCUGCCAGGGUUGCCAGGGAUGCCGGGACGUAGCGUUGGUGUGGGUUACACCUUGGUGAAACACAGCCAGUCGGAGCAGAUCCCGCCAUGCCCUGUGGGAAUGAGCAAGCUGUGGGAAGGCUACAGCUUGCUGUAUGUGGAGGGCCAGGAGAAGGCACACAACCAAGACCUGGGCUUUGCUGGCUCCUGCCUGCCCCGCUUCAGCACAAUGCCCUUCCUUUACUGCAACAUCAACGAGGUCUGCUACUACGCCAGCCGCAACGACAAGUCCUACUGGCUCUCCACCACGGCCUCCAUACCCAUGAUGCCCGUCGGCAGCUUCCAGAUUGCCCAGUACAUCAGCCGCUGCUCCGUCUGUGAGGCCCCUUCCCAAGCGGUGGCCGUUCACAGCCAAGGCAUCAACAUCCCUCAGUGUCCUGAAGGUUGGCGCAGCCUCUGGAUCGGCUACUCUUUCCUGAUGCACACGGCAGCCGGAGCCGAGGGAGGCGGCCAAUCGCUGGUCUCCCCAGGGUCCUGUUUGGAGGAUUUCCGUGCCACCCCUUUCAUCGAGUGCAACGGCGCCCGGGGCACCUGCCACUACUUCUCCAACAAGUACAGCUUCUGGCUGACAACGGUGGAACCGGCUCAGCAAUUUGUGGAGGCUCCCGUUUCGGAGACGCUGAAAGCCGGGCAGCUCCGGAUGCGGGUGAGCCGCUGCCAGGUCUGCAUGAAGAACUUGUAGCCAAGGACCCAAACUUAGCCAAAGCCCACACUUCCCAGGGACUUUGGGCUCUUCUUUCUUCAAAGGCCGGAAUCCUUUUGUCUAUCAUCACAGAACAUGGUGCUAUAUGUUUUUCCCCUCUCUCGUUUUUGUAUUCAUGGCUACCUCAAAGUCUUUCUCUGCCUUCCGGGGUGCCACCUUUGUCCUCUUUGUAACACACUGAACCACGUUUAAUACAUCAAUCACUUGACUUCGGGAGAACGUUCUUCUCUCAAACCUAUCACCCUUUAGGACUGUUUUUUACAUUAUGGAUUGAGACAUUUGCAAAAAUUCAUCAGAUGUUCCCGAUGCUCAAAAAAAAGUGUGCAAUGGGCCCUUCAUAUAUGAGAGAGUUUGGUUCCAUGGAUGCUGGUAUCAAGUCCAAGUCCCAUUACUUGCCAUAUGACACAGCCAUAGUAAACCAACGCGAAAAGGGUGGUUAGAAUCAACCUGCAUUAACGUCAUGCAAUUUUAGUAUUUUUAAAAAAGAUGAUACAUUUGAAGGAGCCCAGAAUGAAUUUGGGAUGAAGACUCCGUUUUUAAAGACCACUUUUUGUGCCUCGAUUCGCUUUCAUGAGCUCUCUGCAUUUCUUGUAUUUUUUAAAAUUUUCUUAUCCUGGGCUUUUUGAGACAAUGUUCUCUGAAAUUGACUUCGUUACUACUUGUGGGGGAUAAUAAAAUACAGUACUUCAGUUGGAAAGGAGAAAAUGCCACUUCGUAAGGAGCUGUUCUGUACCUGCACCGGUAGUUGUCACUUCUGGCUUCGUAGGCGGUAUGAAAGGAGGCCAGUGUGGUGGGUGCUUCUGAAUGAGCUCAAACAUUCGUAGACUCUGCUGUUUAUGUAUCUCCUGAAAAGUAAAAUGUUUAGUUUUUAAAAGGGACCUUGGGAAGUGAAACCAGUAAAAACUGUGUGGCCAUUUUUAGUAGGCACACACUGUGUGAGCCUCUCUGCAGAGAGAUGCCAAGACCUGCAAGGCUUCUAUCAGAGCCUUAUUACAAAUGACGGCCAUCACUCUGCCUCGAGUAAACAAAAAUGGCAGGCCAUAUUCUUUGGGUUCCCCAUGUUGCUUGUGAACAUUGUUUGACUAGAAAGGAAGGGAAAGAAAAAAGGAGGGAGGGCUAUUUUUCUCUGUUUUGUGCAAGUAAGGGGUUAUGGGUUGACAGCACUGCUUCCAAGAAUCGUUUCAUUCUGAAUCCCUAUUAGAGGUAGAUUGCAUUCCUUGCUCUUCUCCUUUUUUUCCAGGCUACUUUCUCAUUCCUUUUCCUCAUUUAUAUCCCUUUCACUGUCUGUAUUUAUACAGAUGUGCACAUUUUAAGAUCAGUCACUAAACCAGAGGAAAAGCCCUAAUGAUAAUGCAGAAACUGGGAGAAAAGAUGUGCUAGAGUCAAAACAUAACAUGUUCCAGGCAGUAUUUUUGUACACUUACACUCUUAAGAGCAAGAUCAUGCAUCACAGCGCAGGCAUCACAGUGCUAAGUAUUAUAUCAGUUGGCUACAAAUUCAGGCUGCUUUCAUCGCAAGACUAUAAACAAAUUGCUUCCUAAAUAGAAAAGAACCACUAUGGAGAAUACAAAUAAAAUAAUCCCUCUAAGGCUAGUAUUCUAUACAUCCCAGUCUGCAACUGAUGUAUGCAGUAAGGCACAGCCUGCACAUAUAUAUUUAAGAGAUUUCCUACCACUUACCUUUUGCACAAGGCUACACCAGGUAUCAAAAUCUUUUUCUUCUUUGCAAAAGAAUCCCUGAGGAAGUAGAGGCAAUGUUUAAAGACAAUUAUUCGAACAAAACACACCAUCAGACCAGAUUGAUCAUAAGGAAGAAAAUAAUAGGACCACUCUAUCUUAGUACUUUUCAAAUCACCUUGAAUAGGGAGGGCACUAGGAUUACAGUUCUGACAUCUGACACAGUAAGUGUCAGAUGUCGAGGGAUGGCUUUGCCACCUCAGCAGGAACCAAACCAAAUGUACACCAAAAUUAAGGCUUAAUGAAGCGGGAAGUACUUUUGGCCCAUCAAAACCAUCAAAUGAGCCCCUUUUGCUCCCCCCACACCCCAAUUCCUUGCUUCUGGAGGCUCACAUGAAAUCUGCCCAAUUAUCCCCUACAUUUAUAGGGAGGGAUAGAAUAACAGAAUCAUAGAGUUGGAAGAGACCUCACGGGCCAUCCAGUCCAACCCAUUGCCAAGAAGCAGGAAAGUCAUAUUCAAAGCACCCCUGACAGAUGGCCAUCCAGCCUCUGCUUAUGCGCAGAGGAAGCCCCAAAUUCACUGAGUGUGGAUGACAUGGAGCAUUGACAUAACUGGUAACCAUGUAAAAUACCCAUUCCCAUCAAGAGGAGCAAUAUCCAGAUUCCCUAAUUGCCUGGCUAUAACAAAAGCUAAACAUAUAUAUAUUAGAAAACUUUUUACCCAGGCUAGAUUCGAGCAGCUCGACAUUAAGUCCAAGCUAGGUAGACAUCAGAAUAUCCCCUAUACGCAGAGAACCUGUGGGUGUCGUGAGGUAGAUGCAGAAGUGGAGGACUCAGAACAUUUUUUCUUAAAAUGCCCCUACUACACCAGGAUUCGAUCUCUCUACUUAGACCCUCUGCUGGAGAAUCAUACUCACUUAGAGAAUAAGGAGAAAUUGCAUAUCCUCCUACAGGGUUCAGAUAAAAACUCUAUUUUAAAACUGGCCCUUUUUACGCAAAAAGCGCUGGCCAUUCGUGAGAAGAUGGAAGCUGAGAGCUGAUACAUUGCCAUUAACAAAAUCCAAACUUAAGAUUUACUAUGGACAAGACACUUGUUUUAUUUACCCCUGUCCUCGUUCAAACCUUACCUUAGGAAAUUACUAAUUUUAACCUUUUUUCUCUGUAUUUGUCUAAGAGCGGGUUAUUAGGCUGCAGAUCGGGAUCUUUUGUAUCUUUACAUGGUUUUAUUGUAUGCAUGUGCAAGUGUGUACGUAUUGUAUGUUUUACAUGUUUUGAUAUGGUCAAAAGUGACUAAUCAAUAAAGAAUUGUUGUUGUUGUAAA